rnacentral:rRNA from 1 species
GAUGAACGCUGGCGGCGUGCCUAAUACAUGCAAGUCGAGCGAACAGACGAGGAGCUUGCUCCUCUGACGUUAGCGGCGGACGGGUGAGUAACACGUGGAUAACCUACCUAUAAGACUGGGAUAACUUCGGGAAACCGGAGCUAAUACCGGAUAAUAUAUUGAACCGCAUGGUUCAAUAGUGAAAGACGGUUUUGCUGUCACUUAUAGAUGGAUCCGCGCCGCAUUAGCUAGUUGGUAAGGUAACGGCUUACCAAGGCAACGAUGCGUAGCCGACCUGAGAGGGUGAUCGGCCACACCGGAACUGGGACACGGUCCAGACUCCUACGGGAGGCAGCAGUAGGGAAUCUUCCGCAAUGGGCGAAAGAUUGACGGAGCAACGCCGCGUGAGUGAUGAAGGUCUUCGGAUCGUAAAACUCUGUUAUUAGGGAAGAACAAAUGUGUAAGUAACUAUGCACGUCUUGACGGUACCUGAUCAGAAAGCCACGGCUAACUACGUG